CUCACCAUGGAGUUUGUGCUGGGCUGGGUUUUCCUGGUUGCUCUUUUAAAAGGUGUCCAGAGUGACGUGCAGCUGGUGGAGUCUGGGGGAGACCUGGUGAAGCCUGGGGGGUCCCUGAGACUCACCUGUGUGGCCUCUGGAUUCACCUUCAGUAGCUAUGAAAUGAACUGGGUCCGCCAGGCUCCAGGGAAGGGGCUGCAGUGGGUCGCGUAUAUUAGUAGUAGUGGAGGUAGCACAUACUACGCAGACUCCGUGAAGGGCCGAUUCACCAUCUCCCGAGACAACGCCAAGAACACGCUGUAUCUGCAGAUGAACAGCCUCAAGACCGAGGACACGGCCACAUAUUACUGAGCAAGGAAAAUGUGACACU